rnacentral:rRNA from 1 species
CCUACGGGUGGCAGCAGUGGGGAAUAUUGGACAAUGGGGGCAACCCUGAUCCAGCGAUGCCGCGUGAGUGAAGAAGGCCUUCGGGUUGUAAAGCUCUUUCACCUACGAAGAUGAUGACGGUAGUAGGAGAAGAAGCACCGGCUAACUCUGUGCCAGCAGCCGCGGUAAGACAGAGGGUGCUAGCGUUGUUCGGAAUGACUGGGCGUAAAGGGCGCGUAGGUGGUUAGACAAGUCAGAUGUGAAAGCCCUGGGCUUAACCUAGGAGGUGCAUUUGAUACUGUUUGACUGGAGUGCGAGAGAGGAAAGCGGAAUUCCUAGUGUAGAGGUGAAAUUCGUAGAUAUUAGGAGGAACACCAGAGGCGAAGGCGGCUUUCUGGCUCGCAACUGACGCUGAGGCGCGAAAGCGUGGGGAGCAAACAGGAUUAGAUACCCCUGUAGUC